rnacentral:ncRNA from 1 species
AGGAAAACGGUGAAGAGGAUAAGUAGUCUUUGGUAGAGAAUCUACAGAGAACCGGGGUAGCUGGAAGCCGGUGAUGCUCCCAAAUGAUGAACUCGCCUCUGAGUGUUAAUCUGAAACUAUAGUAGGAUUAACCGAGUCCCAUUCUUCGGUACUCGUUAUCAAAGUGAACAGUAAUCUGUUCGUAAGGUGGUCAUUUUUGGCCAUGAAGAAGGGUGGUACCGCGAAAAGUUUAUUAACCUUUUUGCCCCUUUG